rnacentral:rRNA from 1 species
CCUACGGGUGACAGCAGUGAGGAAUAUUGGUCAAUGGGCGCGAGCCUGAACCAGCCAAGUAGCGUGAAGGAUGACUGCCCUACGGGUUGUAAACUUCUUUUGUCAGGGAAUAAAGUGCGGCACGUGUGCCUUUUUGUAUGUACUUUAUGAAUAAGGAUCGGCUAACUCCGUUCCAGCAGCCGCGGUAAUACGGAGGGUCCGAGCGUUAUCCGGAUUUAUUGGGUUUAAAGGGAGCGUAGAUGGGUUGUUAAGUCAGUUGUGAAAGUUUGCGGCUCAACCGUAAGAUUGCAAUUGAUACUGGCAGUCUGGAGUACAGGAGAGGUAGGCGGAAUUCGUGGUGUAGCGGUGAAAUGCUUAGAUAUCACGAAGAACCCCGAUUGCGAAGGCAGCUUACUAAACUGUCACUGACACUGAGGCGCGAAAGCGUGGGUAUCAAACAGGAUUAGAUACCCCAGUAGUC